GACGAACGCUGGCGGCGUGCUUAACACAUGCAAGUCGCACGGGACGGCCCUGCUUGCUGGGUGCUCGAGUGGCGAACGGGUGAGUAACACGUGGGUGGUCUGCCCUGCACAUCGGGCUAAGCCUGGGAAACUGGGUCUAAUACCGGGUAGGAGCAAGUCUUAGUGCGCUGGCUGGAGGGUUUUGUCGGUGUCGGAUGAGCUGGCGGCCUAUCAGCUUGUUGGUGGGGUAAUGGACUACCAAGGCGGCGAAGGGUAGCCGGGCUGGGAGGGGGGACGGCCAAAUUGGGAUUGGGAUACGGCCCGGACCACGACCGGAGGCAGGAGAGGGGAAUGGUGGACUAGGGGAGGGAGCCUAAUGCGGCGAAGCCGCGUGGGGGAUGAGGGCCUUCGGGUUGUGAUCUCAUUUCGCUAGGGUCGAGACGUUAUGUGACGGUACCUAGAGAAGCAGCACCGGCUAACUACGUG
rnacentral:rRNA from 1 species